UACGUAGGGUGCGAGCGUUAAUCGGAAUUACUGGGCGUAAAGCGUGCGCAGGCGGUUAAUUAAGUCAGGUGUGGAAGCCCUGGGCUUAACCUAGGAAUUGCGCUUGAGACUGGAUAGCUUGGAGUGCGGCAGAGGGAGGUGGAAUUCCACGUGUAGCAGUGAAAUGCGUAGAGAUGUGGAGGAACACCGAUGGCGAAGGCAGCCUCCUGGGCCAGCACUGACGCUCAUGCACGAAAGCGUGGGGAGCAAACAGG
rnacentral:rRNA from 1 species